UUUUUUCUGCAAAUGAUAUCUCAGUAAAGUAACACAGGACACUUUUCUAUUCUGAUCUACUGGGACCGGAUUUAAUGAAUUUGAGCUAGGUCGCUCAACUACCUACCGCCGAUUUAACUACUUAUCUGUAGUGCUGAGUGUAGUUUACAUCUAAGGACGUGGACAAAUCCUGAAUGACAGAUUUAAAAGAAGUGGUUGAACCGUCUGUAGACAUACAGAGUUACCAACAAAGGAUGAGACUUCAGACAAUACUGCACGGAAUUCAUGCCUUCUUUCUUUUCCAAAUCAUUAAAUAAGAGUAUACACAUUCAAGGCAGAAUUCUUAACAAAAACUUUGGAUAUUCAUAGUCACUCACUUAGAUUCUUCCUACACAUUGCUAUGAUUUCUUCGAUGCCUCCAACACAUUACUUCAAAAACUUUGAUUCCUCCGACGCAUUACUGCAAUAACUUUGAUUCCUCCAACACAUUACUGCAAUAAUUUUGAGUUCUCCGACCCCUUACUACAAUUACUUCGAUGCCUCCAACACAUUUAUACACUACUUCGAUGCCUCCACACAUUACUGGAAUAACUUUGAUUCCUCCAACACAGAAAGCUAUUUACUUUGAUUCCUCCAACACAUUUAGCUUUUCAUUUUAAUUCCUCCAACACAUUUAGCAUAUUUACUUUGAUUCCUCCAACACAUUGAGCUACCCUUUUGGCUCUAAAAAUCCCCUCGAAACUAGAGAUUUUUAGAGCCAAAAGUUUCUGCACAAAAAAAGUCAUCUUUGUUUUUUUCAUAAAAAUUCAUAAUGUUUUUUCUAGACUAUAAGGUAAUGAUAUUAUAGCUCAUUUGUUAAAGGAAUUCCUUAUUUUUUCAAAGAAAAUAAUUUUUU